CAAAAAGACAUCUUCGUAAAACUAUACGUUUCAGGAUCUAAAAUACAUAGUUGAUGAAAUUCGAUGGGAUUUAAUUCUACACGAUAUCAAUAGUAAAAGUUGAAAAAGGUUAGGAAAAAACUAUUAAAUGGCAUAAAACAAAAAAUUUUAAACAUGAAACUGACGGAAUUACGAGAACUCAGUUUUCGAUUAUAGCACAAUAUUAUAUUUUAAAAUUCCUGUUUAUUAGUUGACACUGUUGGGUUACCAGAGCCAUACGAAAUUUUCGAUGAAUCCACUAUUUCCUCAACUCCGAUCCUUGGAAGUCGGAUCAAGUAUUAUUAAUCGUGCUCUAAACCUCGUAGACCAUCGGAAAUACAGGGUUUUAUUAAUAUAACUAGCUAAGAAUUAAAUGCUACAAUGUAGG